GAUUAAGCCAUGCAUGUGUAAGUAUAAAUAAUUUUACUUUGAAACUGCGAAUGGCUCAUUAUAUCAGUUAUAGUUUAUUAGAAAUACUUUACUACUUGGAUAACCGUAGUAAUUCUAGGGCUAAUACAUGAAUAAAUCCUCAACUUCGGAAGAGGUGUGUUUAUUAGUAUGAAAACCAUAUAUCUUCGGAUAUAAUAGUGAGUAAUAAUAACCUUUCGUAUCGUAUGUCGUAAGAUAACGAUAGUUCUUUCAAGUUUCUGCCCUAUCAGCUUUCGAUGGUAGUGUAUUGGACUACCAUG
rnacentral:rRNA from 1 species